UACGUAGGGGGCUAGCGUUGUCCGGAAUCAUUGGGCGUAAAGCGCGUGUAGGCGGUUCGGUAAGCCCGCUGUGAAAGUCGGGGGCUCAACCCUCGGAAGCCGGUGGAUACUGUCGAGCUAGAGUACGGAAGAGGCGAGUGGAAUUCCUGGUGUAGCGGUGAAAUGCGCAGAUAUCAGGAGGAACACCAAUGCGAAGGCAGCUCGCUGGGACGUUACUGACGCUGAGACGCGAAAGCGUGGGGAGCAAACAGGAU
rnacentral:rRNA from 1 species